GGAGAGGUGCGAGAGCGGUUUAAUCGGUUCGUCUUGAAAACGAAUGUGGCGCAAGCCACCGUGGGUUCGAAUCCCACCCUCUCCGCCA
rnacentral:tRNA from 1 species